GGAGGGAUGCCGGAGCGGCCGAUCGGGUCCGUCUUGAAAACGGAAGUGGGGUAACUCACCGUGGGUUCGAAUCCCACUCCCUCCG
rnacentral:tRNA from 1 species